rnacentral:rRNA from 1 species
UACGAAGGGGGCUAGCGUUGUUCGGAUUUACUGGGCGUAAAGCGCGUGUAGGCGGGCCGAUAAGUUGGGGGUGAAAUCCCGGAGCUCAACUCCGGAACUGCCUCCAAAACUGUCGGCCUGGAGCAGAUGAGAGGCGAGUGGAAUUCCGAGUGUAGAGGUGAAAUUCGUAGAUAUUCGGAGGAACACCAGUGGCGAAGGCGACUCGCUGGCAUCUUGCUGACGCUGAGAUGCGAAAGCGUGGGGAGCAAACAGG